AUAAUACUCCCUCUGUCCGGAAAUACUUGUCGUAGAAAUGAAUAUAUCUAGAUGUAUUUUAGUCUAGAUACAUUCAUUUUUAUUCAUUUUUUUGACAAGUAUUUCCUGGUGGAGGGAUAGAGA
rnacentral:pre_miRNA from 1 species